rnacentral:sRNA from 1 species
UCGUGGUCAACGUCGCCGACUCCGAGGGUAAU